rnacentral:rRNA from 1 species
UACGAAGGGGGCUAGCGUUGCUCGGAAUCACUGGGCGUAAAGCGCACGUAGGCGGGUUCUUAAGUCAGGGGUGAAAUCCUGGAGCUCAACUCCAGAACUGCCUUUGAUACUGGGAAUCUCGAGUCCGGGAGAGGUGAGUGGAACUGCGAGUGUAGAGGUGAAAUUCGUAGAUAUUCGCAAGAACACCAGUGGCGAAGGCGGCUCACUGGCCCGGUACUGACGCUGAGGUGCGAAAGCGUGGGGAGCAACAGG